UUUAAAGUUUUUAGUCUGCUCAGAUUGAACGCUGGCGGCAGGCCUAACACAUGCAAGUCGAGCGGUAGCACAGAGAGCUUGCUCUCGGGUGACGAGCGGCGGACGGGUGAGUAAUGUCUGGGAAACUGCCUGAUGGAGGGGGAUAACUACUGGAAACGGUAGCUAAUACCGCAUAAUGUCGCAAGACCAAAGUGGGGGACCUUCGGGCCUCAUGCCAUCAGAUGUGCCCAGAUGGGAUUAGCUAGUAGGUGGGGUAACGGCUCACCUAGGCGACGAUCCCUAGCUGGUCUGAGAGGAUGACCAGCCACACUGGAACUGAGACACGGUCCAGACUCCUACGGGAGGCAGCAGUGGGGAAUAUUGCACAAUGGGCGCAAGCCUGAUGCAGCCAUGCCGCGUGUGUGAAGAAGGCCUUCGGGUUGUAAAGCACUUUCAGCGGGGAGGAAGGCGGUAAGGUUAAUAACCUUGUCGAUUGACGUUACCCGCAGAAGAAGCACCGGCUAACUCCGUGCCAGCAGCCGCGGUAAUACGGAGGGUGCAAGCGUUAAUCGGAAUUACUGGGCGUAAAGCGCACGCAGGCGGUCUGUCAAGUCGGAUGUGAAAUCCCCGGGCUCAACCUGGGAACUGCAUUCGAAACUGGCAGGCUAGAGUCUUGUAGAGGGGGGUAGAAUUCCAGGUGUAGCGGUGAAAUGCGUAGAGAUCUGGAGGAAUACCGGUGGCGAAGGCGGCCCCCUGGACAAAGACUGACGCUCAGGUGCGAAAGCGUGGGGAGCAAACAGGAUUAGAUACCCUGGUAGUCCACGCCGUAAACGAUGUCGAUUUGGAGGUUGUGCCCUUGAGGCGUGGCUUCCGGAGCUAACGCGUUAAAUCGACCCGCCA
rnacentral:rRNA from 1 species